GAGGGUAUAGCACAAGUGGUAGAGCACAUGCUUAGCAUGCACAAGGCCCUGAGUUCAAUCCCCAGUACCUCCU
rnacentral:tRNA from 1 species